UACACGCUGGUGAGGGGGUGUCGGCCAUCGGUAUGCAGCAGCAAUGCGAGCCACGGAAGCUGUUGUCCGCCACUCGCUGCAAGGAGCGCCAUGAAAUGGUAGAGAGAGCACAAAAGCGGCUAUCGUAGGGAGUGCGCUCCUUCACCGUGCAAUCCGUGAGGCCACUCCACCGUAGCAGGCCCGCGAAGCGCCCUGGCUUCAUGCUGUUAUUCUUGUCGGAGGUGCUCGCUAGGAAAACGUCACUCCCGCCGCAGCUGGAUCAUAUCAAGAGGCUAAAAACGUAGUUGGGAGGGACCAUGCCAGCAAUGUCGCAUGAUGAUGGAGACCUCUACCCCAGUACACAAGAGCAGUAACAAGGAGCUCACGGUGCUAGGUUUAAAAAAAGGAGCUCACCGUGCUUCCCGACACACCAAGUUCCAAGUGUCUUGUUGUCAACCUGCUUGCCCCAAAGGCCACCGCCACAACAUUGCCGCCGUUGUUCAGGAGUCUAACGUGAUUGGGAGGGACCAUACCAGUAAUGCCGCAUGAUGAUGAAGACGAACAUGUGUUCCUCGCGGAUGCCUCUGCCCUGGUACACAAGAGCAGCAACAUGAAGCGCACACUGCUAGGUUUCAAAAGGAAGGAGCUCACGGUGCUUCCUGACACACCAAGGUAUUAUCACCGGUAACAACUGGAUAAAGUCGGUUUGCUAGAUGAAAAACCGUCCCUGGCGCCAGCGGUGCCAUUUCUGUUGCCUUGCUCAUCCCAAGUGUGUUGCUCUUGUUUUGUUGUUAUCUCUGAGAUGGGGCUGCUAGUAUUCAUCGUGAAGGAUCAUCAGGAGGUGGCGUUGCUCUGCCAUGGCAAGUUUUCUUGACCGAAUUACAAUGCUAGUAAGGUUUCUAACUAAAUGUUGUUGUCAUCACCUAUCAAGCUGUUCACUAAUAAGGUUAGCUUAAUUGGUGCUUAUACUUGUUGACAUGUGGACUCUAAUCUUUUAAUCACAUAGUAGCAAAGGUGUGGGUUUGAUGUAUAUAGAUGAUUUGAUUUGCACUUGUUUGGUAUGAGAUGCCCCCUUAAAUUAUCAGUAUGAAGGUUGGAAGUUGUUUGUUGAUGUGAAGCCAGAGCUGUCUUAGUUUGAUGGUAAUACCCUGUUGUAGAAUUCUGCUGAACAUAGGAAGUAUUUCUUUGUAGGAAGUAUUAAUUAUGUGCCCCAUUCCUCAAAUGUGUAAUCCUAUUGGAAAUGGCAGAUAUAAGAAAGCAUCAGACCCACUUUAGAGUUGCAAAAUGAGUUUGCAGUUGGGUAUUUUGGUGGCAUAACCUUUCAUGAUCUCAUUUUUGUGUUACCUCGAGUUAGUUCUAUGAUUUCCACAUCAGACCCACUUUAUAGCUGCCAAAUUUUGUCUAUAUUUCUAAUUAUAGAAUUGAGAUUCUAACAAGGCAUGUGGUUCUAGUUUCAUCACCAGCAAAGAGAUCUCCUUGAGAUGACAGAAGAAGAAUCCUUUGGGAAGCCUGAAAUGCAGCCAUCUUGUUUCAGAUAUGUGCUUCUGUUUCAUUGUCAUAGACAGUUAGGAUUCCAGUUGCCUUGUAAAUUAGAAUUCCAGUUGUUUAUACAUGCUGCGUGCCCUUGAUCAUGUGGUAGUUGUUGUUGUCGCUGACAGAUGGAGGAUGCUAACAGGCUUGACAUGGUCUUGGUCGCCUGAAGCAACAGGCGUCACAUGAUGUGGAGGGCUAAAUGGCAGCGUUGAGAGAGUUGUUGAUUUUGCUGCAGCUUAUAGCGAAGCUGCUCCUGCUGUUGUGGCAGAGGAUCUUGGUGCGGAUGUUCUGUUGUAACUUGGGUGUCAAUUUUAGAAAUAAACAUCAUGUGGCUCUUCUAUUUGCUUUUGUUUGAUUGGUUUAGGUUAGCAGUUUUGAACAUGGAUCACUUUCUGUACGGAUGCAAUGUUUUAUGCAUCAAUCAUUAAUGGAAGGAUUAUCAAUUAAAGCAAAA